CAGAGUUGCAAAACUCCCAAACCACCUGAAAACUUACCUGUAUUCUUUCUUCGGCAGGCGGCCCCAGGGCGGGGCCUGUAGCCGGCUUGGUCCGGUGCCUGCCGGGGGAUACAAAACUCGUUAUUUUUGGUGUUCUGAGUCUUUAUACAAACCAGUCA
rnacentral:misc_RNA from 2 species